CCUACGGGAGGCAGCAGUGGGGAAUAUUGCACAAUGGGGGAAACCCUGAUGCAGCGACGCCGCGUGAGUGAAGAAGUAUUUCGGUAUGUCAAGCUCUAUCAGCAGGGAAGAAAACAGUCGGUACCUGACUAAGAAGCCUCGGCUAACUCCGUGCCAGCAGCCGCGGUUAUACGUAGGGGGCAAGCGUUAUUCGGAGUUACUGGGUGUAAAGGGAGCGGAGACGGUAUGGCAAGUCGGCAGUGAAAGCCCAGGGCUUAACCCUGGGACUGUUUUGGAAACUGUUAGACUAGAGUGCUGGAGAGGGAAGUGGAAUGCGUAGUGUAGCGGUGAAAUGCGGAGAUAUUAGGAGGAACACCAGUGGCGAAGGCGGCUUACUGGACAAUAACUGACGUUGAGGCUCGAAAGCGUGGGGAGCAAACAGGAUUAGAUACCCGUGUAGUC
rnacentral:rRNA from 1 species